CACAGGGAUUGGUAGAACAGGGACGUACAUAGCAUUGGACGCGCUUAAUAAGGGAGGGGAGAUAACCGGGAAAGUUAAUAUCCGGCAGUAUGUAGAAACCAUGAGAAACAGCCGUGCUAACAUGAUCCAGGGCGACGAUCAAUACAGAGUUGUUUACUUGGCAUUACUUGAAUCAUUCCGAGGAAAAGGAAGGUCUGUAUCAACCAGGACAUUACGAGAAUUCCAGGAUCAUUCAAUCUCGGAGAAGUAGCCAAUAAAUCACCACUUUCUGCUGAAUUUCAGUCUUUCACAAGAAAUGACCAUUUCAUCAGUGCUCAAUAUCCUAUCCCAGAUUACACAGAGGACUUCCUGAGACUUGUGAAGGCUUAUCAUGCACCUACAAUUGUAUCCCUGAGACCGUUGGUGGAAAUUGAAUCGGUAUGGUCGAAAAGAAAUCCUGCAAUUUGUAUAAUGAGCAGUCUUUUAUAUUUUCAUUUACCAAUCAUUUGUCAGGUUACUGCGCAUGAUUCUGAUGUCACAAUGACGACAUGUGUAUUAUUUGUAGUUUUACGAUGUUAGACAUAAGCAUCAAAAUUUAAUAUUGAGAGAUUAAAAUUAAUGUGUACUUUUAAAUCAUGAAACAUUUAUUUAAUUAUUUGAUUCUAAUCUUCACGACAAAUGGAAUGAAUUCAGCCUCUUCAUCGUGAACUUCCCAUAUGUAUGUAUCAAUAUUCCUUCAUCACCUGCAUAUGAUGUUUGUCUCGCAACUGAUUCAAGAUGCAAGAACGUAUUCUGCCUAUGAACAAUUUUUAAAUCGAGACAAUCUACUGACAGAUAUGUUGCUGUUAGUGAGUUUCAACAGUCUCGUUUAAAGUCAGCAUUUUUAAAAUUAUAUGGUCAUUAUAAUGAUCUAAUUUGCAACUAUUGCACAACCCUUCUAUAACCAAGCGACGUAGGUUUUAUUAAAUUUAUUAAGAACUAAAGGCAAUGGCAGAUCUGAAAUUAACAAAUCACACACCACAUUACACAUGCAACAAAAUAUACAAUUACAUAAAUUCAUAUUCGUAUUUCCCUUUAAAGAAGUCAAAAUAUUCCAAUGAAAUGUACAUGAUUGACUUUAUUACUUUACUUCAAAAAGUAACAAAAUUUAUAGUCCUUGAUCAAAAAACGGUCAUUUCAUAGUAGAGAAAUAUACUGAUAAAAAAAAUAGUUCAACGUACAUAAUUAUCAACCAGUUAAUAAUAAACAUUUCAAAUCUAUACUUUAAGGUGUGGCACAACGGGCAGCUAUAUGUAUAGGUAUACUCCCUCUAAAACAAAGAGCCUGGUUCAAAAAGUGCCAAAAAUGGCCCAUGCUAAAAACAAAAACAUAUUGCUGUAGAAUAUAUUUAUAGACUUCAUACUUUCUUAAAAUACCUAUCUUUUUACAAUAUCUUGAUUAUUCAUUCUGUAAGAGGUCUUUAAAAUAGCAUAUGCGUCUGAAUUAAUUUCGACGUUCUGGUGACAAUUUAUGACGUUACUCUGACAAUUAACAGAACGUCAUUUAAAUUAAGAUCCUUGUCAGCACUUUAUAUUGUUCAUACUGAACAUAACUUAUAUAAUCAAAUAUUUCCAAAGAAAUUAUGAUAAUAAAUACUGGGUGAUUAUUACAUAAGAAAAGAAAAUCAUCGGGUAUGAAAUCGUUUUGGUACGAGUGAAAACGACACCGCUCCCAACAAGAAUAUUUCGGUAAGUGUAAACAUUACUUCAGAAUAUACUAUCAAAGUUUUCUAGACAUUAAGAUUAACAGAAACUUUAUUACACAUAUUCUUUCAGUAGCUGUAUAAAACCAUGCAAUCAAAUAGACGGAACACAAACGUGGGUUCUUUUUAUCGACACACUCGGUGUGUAUUCAUGUGUACUUUCACUUCGUCAUUAUUAUAAUGUUUCCGUACGGUGUACACACUAUGGAUCAGAGAGCGCCAGGAAAUUUUUGGUGUUGCCCCUUUAGGUCAUUCUAAUGGUAGAGAUACAUGUACAAUGUCAUUACAUUAGCAAGUAAGAGUAACACCUGCUUGUAUUGUCGAUUUCCUUUUAAAGAAAAAAAAGAAACACAGUUCAUAACAAUUAGUGUGCUUCAAUACUUAUAUCACCAGAGACAGUACCACUUAUGGUAAAACAAUGAUGAUUUAAGGAGUUGACAUGUUUAUUAGAGUUUCUAUAGAUUAACAAUCCACAACCUCCUCAAAAAAAUAAACCCGAUGUACUGAUGAAAAUAGCCCGCGAAACUUAUUUAUAGAAGAAAAAGUUAUUAAACUGGUUUUAGCUAGAGUGAGUGAAUUCCUACAAACAACCUGGCCAAUAGAAUGUUGUGAAUAGAUAUUAUUCAAUUAAUAUAGCACACCUUAGUAUUGAAAAAAUAUAGAAAAUUCAAUUAAAUAUAAAGAUCACCCUGCCACUUUUCAUUAGGUGGAAAGUUGUCUAGAGUCGUUCUUUACAUACUGAUUUUGACUACGGAUUACUCCGUUUACCUGAUCAAAAUGGCGGAUGUGACCGGUCAAAAGGAAAUGCUUCCUUGGCAUCUGAUAUCACCUCUGACCAGUGUGUCCAGGUGAACGUGGUUGUCCUCUUCUUAAAUGUUCUAUUCUUUAUAGGAUUUAUUACAUUGGUCACUCUUCGUUAUUUUCACUUUUUCAUUAGUCUAUUUACUGAAUUCAAACAAGAAAGAAAUUGGCCUUGUAAAUUGUACCAAAGAUGUUUCAAAAGCAAUACCAUUGAACAUGAAUAUUAAUUAUGAAGAUUUUUUUUAUGUCAAUCACAACGUUGUACAGUGAUACCGUAGGUGAGGGCAUUUUGGGUAGAGUGACCUCAAUCGCUAAAUUGGAGUAAGAAACGGAAAGUGGUAUCAUUGUAUGCAUACCAAUUUAACGAAUUUCGAUGUUUAAACUGUUGAAACUUCUACGAUAUGUAAUUUAUUACAUUUUUAUUGAUAUGAUGACAAUGCUCAUAUAGCAGUCUACUGAUAGGUAUGAAAUAGAAAGGUUUGGUGGGGUUCGUAGUAUCGAGUGAGUACAUUUUCUAGGUCUACAAACUAUCCUUUUUAUGUAGUGUGAAUGAGUGAGUACAUUUUCUACGUCUACAAAAUAUAUUUUCUAUGUAGUUUGAAUGAGUAAGUAUAUGUUUAGGUUUACAAAAUCUCCUUUCUAUGUGGUUUGGAUAAGUUUCUCAUAAUCACAACAGAGAUACUCAUCACAGAUUUAAAGAAAAUUUUGAAAUUGUGCUUUGUAUGUGUUUUAUACAUUUGUAUUGAUUUCGGUUGUAAACCUCACAGUAAACUUUCAAAACUAUCCCGGAUGUCUUUUUAGCGUAAUUGUUUUAUAAAUAACGGUUUAAAUCUCACACUCACAGGUUACGUUCGGUAACAUAAGUAGUGUGUGUAACUUUCUAAAUGUACAUGUAAUAAAUUUAUGCUGUUUCAUUGUACUCUAUUUCUGGAUUAAAUUCCCGAACUUUCAACUCGACAUAAACACAUGCAAUUACAAAAUGAAAGCAGUCUAGACGAAAAUACCCUACACUCCUUGUGCAACUUCAGAAAUCAACCAGUCAUUGCAGUUACUUACAUGCUUUAAGAUGGUUUACGAUUGGCAUGAGCUUCACAUUUUGUAUAGCAGAAUCCUUUCGUUAUUAUAGCCAUGCCCAAAGUUUGUGUUUUCUUUUUCAGUCUUCACUUUGGCUUCCUGGUAAAAAUGAAAACAAAACGAUUGGAGCAUUCACGACUAAAAUGACAGAUUGUACACAAACAACCACAGUCACCAAGACUAGCAUUACUCUGCACCAAAAGGUGUCCAUUUACAAAGUUUUCUGAUGAAUUUUUGUUUUUACAUUUCAUGAAGUACUGUUUGGUAUUUAUAAUCCAAGAUUCGUUUCGUCUCAAACACGUGAUUGCAGGGAGCUAGUGAUAUGCACGUUUGCGUACUGGAAUGUAGAAGCUGGAAAGGAGAAAACGACUCCUCAAACCGGGGAGUUUUACUUGAUCUCAUCAACGAAGCGAGAGUGGGGGAAAGGACCCACCCGGAGGGAAGGAUUCUGGUUCUGUCGAGUGAUGGGGCCAAGCGAUGUGGAUAAUUCUUGGUUGUAUUCAAUGCUAUGGAACAACUUACCAUGGACACAGAGGAAUAAUAUCAGUGUUGUUACGAGGCCAUUGCUGAUCAUCUCCAAAAUGACACAGUGUACGCGAAUUACCGAGGACCAGUCAAAGAGACUGUAAUAUCAAACACAAUGAAUUACAUCAACCAGCUUUCUUCCUAAUAACAAUGGAAACACAUUGAAGAUUUUUUUUCAAUCACUGGAGACCAGUAUUAUAUAUGUACUGGUAUUAUUAACUCACACACUUCACGUAUUGUAUUUGCUUGUCUCUUAUUAACUAUUCUUCCGCUUCUUGUUCUUCUGCCUUAAAAAGCUAGCAACCGGUGUCGUAACCAGUAGAUGAAAGUAUUAGAAACUCAAGGAUGUGAUCAGGCAAUAUAUCUAGUUUUGUAGAAAUGUUUUUGUUUUCAGAUUAAAUGGGGUUAGUUAUAUUUUGGGGGUGGGUCCAACAUAGAACUAUGUGUGAAAAAAUUAGUUCCAAAAUUCAACAGAUAUAACUUGAAAAAAUAUGAUAGCGUCCUGGGAUCUUCGGAAAUGAGAAGAAGAUGCCAGGGCAUACAAACUAGUAUCAAGGUCAAGGGACCCCAGUGACCUUGACCUCUGACCAUGAAUAUAAAACCUGGUAUAACUUUGCAACCAAUAUUGAUAGAGACAUGGGAUCUCUCAUAUAUGAAAAGUCUAAUAGGCAACAAACUAACAUCAAGGUCAAAGUACUCAUAUGACCUUCACCUUGAUCAUAAAACGCAUUACAUUAUGGGACCAAUAGAAACAUGCAAUCGAUAGAGAUUUGAUACUGAAAUGGAGCUGAGUCGAAUCACACCGUUCCCACGACAAAACCAGUAUUCAACGUCUCCUCCAAUACAAUGCAGCAUACACAUGCACAUCCAGUCACCGCUUGUUCUCUUCCUUUAUAUCUCAUUCAGCUUUUGAAAAGCAUUGUACCUUUAAUUUGGCGUCUGAUCCGUUUAAUUCCGCACAGUAACUCUACCUGACCUAAUCACACUCCGUUAGCCAUUUUUGUUGCUGUUUACAUUCUUACUUUCAUGUAUUCCUACGCGCCAUUUCAUACAAGUUGAUUAAAGCUUGUGUAUGAGAGAAA